UACGUAGGGGGCAAGCGUUGUCCGGAAUCAUUGGGCGUAAAGCGCGUGUAGGCGGCCCGAUAAGUCCGCUGUGAAAGUCCAGGCUCAACCCUGGGAUGCCGGUGGAUACUGUCGGGCUCGAGUCCGGAAGAGGAGUGUGGAAUUCCUGGUGUAGCGGUGGAAAUGCGCAGAUAUCAGGAGGAACACCAAUGGCGAAGGCAGCACUCUGGGACGUGACUGACGCUGAGACGCGAAAGCGUGGGGAGCAAACAGG
rnacentral:rRNA from 1 species